rnacentral:sRNA from 1 species
GUCUAAAAUAAAAAACUCGUUAGAUAAAGAAGAAUAAUAUAAAUCCUCUGGAAUUAUGGACCAUCGUUAACAAAUAGAUGUCAAUUUGUUUUUGGAGCAAGGUCCGAGGAUGUAGAGAUCCUUGUGUUUGCUCAUACACUUGAAUCGCGAACUCUGAACGUUGGUAUAUCGGAAUCGCUAUAUUAUAUUAGGCAUUGAGGCUGCCAUUAAUUUAUUUUCAUUUUAUGCUUCGACCCUGACAGGUCUGCUGUAUAUACAACAUGACACAAAAUAAUGAAUGGAUCGAUUCAACGAAUUUAUAAAAAUAUCGAAAUGAAGCAUUUUUGAACGGGGUGCAAGGUCCGAGGAUAUCAUAUCCUUGUGUUUGCCUCCGAGUAGUAGUAGUGGAGUAACAACGAAGAAAAACAAACAAAACAAGGUCCUUCUACUAGGAAACUUCCAAGCCGACUAACAUUUGAACA